CUCUAAGCUAUAGGAGUGUGGAUGAGUUGUUCAGAACGACUGACCUUUUUAAGUUAGAGUUCAACUUUCUCCCUCAUCGACACAAGAGGUGCCUCGAGUUUCAUCAAUUUGGUGAACUACAGUAUAGUAAACAACAAGGACACAAUGGCAAAUGAACGUCGAACACUCUGAAGGAAACGAAAAGGAAGACAGCAAAGGAAAGGAAGUAAAAAAUUGCUAAACUACGGAAUUAAAUGGAAUAUGCUUACCAGUUUUUGAUAUAAACAUCCGCGCCUCCUCCAUAGGAAGCCCACAGACAGCAGGAGUUGGAUGCAGGGAAGACAAAAUCUUAAACUGAAAAGCAGAGAACUCAUGGUGGUCUUUGGCACUGAAAAUAAAUUCAGAAUGGGAUAAACCAUCAAUUCUGGUGCCAGUGCAAGGUUAAGAAGCUCAAAUCUUCAACUUAACAUGAGAAGUUCUGAUUAAUCUGAGGCUAGA